rnacentral:rRNA from 1 species
UACGUAGGGUGCGAGCGUUAAUCGGAAUUACUGGGCGUAAAGCGUGCGCAGGCGGUUUUCCAAGACAGAUGUGAAAUCCCCGGGCUCAACCUGGGAAUGGCGAUGAAGACUGCAAGGCUAGAAUCUGGCAGAGGGGGGUAGAAUUCCACGUGUAGCAGUGAAAUGCGUAGAGAUGUGGAGGAACACCGAUGGCGAAGGCAGCCCCCCUGGGUCAAGAUUGACGCUCAUGCACGAAAGCGUGGGGAGCAAACAGG